AAUGUUUGGGGUACCUAACCGAUUGCAAGGAUUAUUACAUGCAAGUAACUGAAAGGUUUUGUUGUUUGUGAUCAAUAGCCUAUGUCUCAUGACGAGACGCGGUUGCCUGCACCGUGCGUCAGGCUCAACAUUAACAGAUGUGUGCGUGUUGAUCAGUUACAUGUUGCGGGUAGUAUCAUAUGUACGUGAAAAGGAGGGGCUACCUUUUCACAGCAGGGUAAUGCAAGGUCCCUUGGCUCUACCGGAAGACUUCACCACUCUAUUGUAGCAUCAUAAGCGAGAGAUCUGAGCAACAAUGGACAAUGGACGACGGAAGGCGUGUCUGACGGAUGGGGGAGUGGUAUUUGCUGACGGAGCCACAAUCUGAUUGGCUGACGGAUCCGUUGUAGCCUGAAAAGUUAGUGUGCCUUGUUCACACUAGAUGCGUCCGUCGACGGAUGUGGACUUUUGAAAUAUCUGUUUUGUGUUCUGAAAUAAGGAGCAGUGUUGGGAACGUUACUUUAAAAAGUAAUUAGUUAUAGUUUGUCACUACUUGUUCCAAAAAGUAACUGAGUUAGUAACUGAAUUACUGAAUUACCGGGUAAAAUUACUAUUUGCGUUUCUGCAAAAAAGAAAGUUGCUAUAUGCCCAAGAAUUUGGAAUUUUCACUUUGGUUUUCACUUGGCCCUAAUGUGUGAAAUGGUUGAACUGCCCAUUCAAGGCCCUGAUAUACUUCCAACUGAAUUUUACUUCCAACUGCUUUGUUGAAAGGCUGUGGAACAUUCAAUCCAGCAUCUGUUGAUGUUAGAGCUCCACCUAGUGUCAGCUCCUUUGUUAGCACUUAUCAUUGCAUCCCCCUUCCAAACAGGUGAGUAUGACAUUAAACACAACUCUUAAAUAACUGUCAGUCUGAGUAACAUUCAACAUGUCAAAAUUAGUGCAACAAACUACAUCCCUUAGCACUUAGCUUUUCACUGUCACCAAGUGUCCUAACAAAUGAAAUAAAUUCUAGCUUAUAGCCAAUAACAACAGAUAUGAUAAGUAUGAACAAUUAUUAUUAGUUUUUCUUUUUAAACAGUGCCAUUGUUAACAACCUUCUGUCACAGCUUCUGAGUCGAACAGUUGUAGACCUUCCAAGUGUCUCAGUCAUUGGGAAGGGUGAAGGAUGCUCACCGUGCUGAACAUCUGGUGUACCACCCUCUUGUUGUUCAGAUCCAGUCUCCUCGGCUUGAUGUUCAAUGCCCUGAGCCUUUAAC
ensembl:lncRNA